GACGAACGCUGGCGGCGUGCCUAAUACAUGCAAGUCGAGCGCACAGUUUAUACCGUAGCUUGCUACACCAUAGACUGUGAGUUGCGAACGGGUGAGUAACGCGUAGGUAACCUGCCUGGUAGCGGGGGAUAACUAUUGGAAACGAUAGCUAAUACCGCAUAAUAUUAAUUAUUGCAUGAUAAUUAAUUGAAAGGUGCAAUUGCACCACUACCAGAUGGACCUGCGUUGUAUUAGCUAGUAGGUGAGGUAACGGCUCACCUAGGCGACGAUACAUAGCCGACCUGAGAGGGUGAUCGGCCACACUGGGACUGAGACACGGCCCAGACUCCUACGGGAGGCAGCAGUAGGGAAUCUUCGGCAAUGGACGAAAGUCUGACCGAGCAACGCCGCGUGAGUGAAGAAGGUUUUCGGAUCGUAAAGCUCUGUUGUAAGAGAAGAACGGGUGUGAGAGUGGAAAGUUCACACUGUGACGGUAUCUUACCAGAAAGGGACGGCUAACUACGUG
rnacentral:rRNA from 1 species